GUCUCCUGCCUUGGAGCAAGAGAAACAGGACACAGCACAACUUUUAGGCUCUUGGAUUUAAGCCUUCAACACCACCAGGAUGCGAGAGGGACACGGGAUGGCUGAGCCACCAUAAUGGCUUCACCAGCACAAACUGACACGAGGCCCCGUCACCUCCACGGUGCCAAGAGGAGAUGCAUUAACAGCCCGGAAGGACCUGAUCCUGGAAAGGUGACAAACGGAGCAGCUUUGUGACCGUAGCUGGUGACCACGAGAGGCUGCCAGUGGCUGCCAGUGUCACUCAGGGAGUGUUUCAGCGGGAGCCAAAGGGGUGGCAGGGAACAGGAGACACUGAGCUGCUCACCGAGUGUGAGCCUUCUGGGAUGUGGUGAGGGGGCACGUCCCAAGAGCCAACUCCUUAUCCUGUGGGAUUAUGGAGUCUCAUCAUACUUUCACAGAAUCACAGAAUCUUCUAGGUUGGAAGGGACCUUGAAGAUCAUCUUGUCCAACCACGUUACAUCCUAUCCUGUUCAUUAGUGAAUUCAUUAAUGAAACGACUGCAAACCUGGUCAGAAUUGGUGGUGUCUGCGUGUCUGCAAUAGUGCAUGUGCCUGUUCUUUGAGAAUGGUUAUGACAUUGGUGCUGACAAGACCACUCAAACCAUUUAAAACCAGCAAGAGGGAUUCAGGUCCUGUGCCCAUAUGGACAGUUACUUCCAUUUGAGAAGAACUGGUAACGUCCCCACUUCAAGAGGCAUCUACAGCAGAGCUGGCAAUAAUUCAUGUAUUAAAAUACAAAUAAAAUAAAAAUAAAAGCAUGA